GUCGAGAAUCUUCCGCAAUGCGCGAAAGCGUGACGGAGCGACACCGCGUGAUGGAUGAAGUCCUUCGGGGCGUAAACAUCUUUUAUAAAGGAGGAAAUUUUUGACGUUACUUUAUGAAUAAGGGGCUCCCAAUCUCGUGCCAGCAGGAGCGUUAAUACGAGAGCCUCAAGCGUUAUCCGGAAUCAUUGGGCGUAAAGGGUGCGUAGGUGGUUUGAUUAGUCUCCCGUUAAAACUUCGAGCUUAACUCGAAAAGAGCGGGGGAAACGGUCAAACUAGAGUAUGUGAGAGGUGUGUGGAACUCAUGGUGUAGGGGUGAAAUCCGUUGAUAUCAUGGGGAACACCAAAAGCGAAGGCAGCACACUGGCACAUCACUGACACUGAGGCACGAAACCUAAGGUAGCGAAUGGGAUUAGAUACCCUAGUAGUCC
rnacentral:rRNA from 1 species